AUACGGAGGGUGCAAGCGUUAUUCGGAAUCAUUGGGUUUAAAGGGUCCGCAGGCGGAUUAAUAAGUCAGUGGUGAAAUCCUCUCGCUCAACGAGAGAACUGCCAUUGAAACUGUUAGUCUUGAAUUCGGUCGAAGUAGGCGGAAUGUGUCAUGUAGCGGUGAAAUGCAUAGAUAUGACACAGAACACCGAUAGCGAAGGCAGCUUACUAGACCUGGAUUGACGCUCAUGGACGAAAGCGUGGGGAGCGAACAGGAUUAGAUACCCCAGUAGUCC
rnacentral:rRNA from 1 species